rnacentral:snoRNA from 1 species
GGAGACGGUGAUGCUUUUAGUUCUACACACGAGAUUUCUGUCCGAGCCUUCAGGCCGUGCGGACAACAAAUCCUUUUGAGUCUCC